GGGCGAGUGGCGGAAUGGUAGACGCGCUGGCUUCAGGAGCCAGUGUCCGCAAGGACGUGGAGGUUCGACUCCUCUCUCGCCCACCA
rnacentral:tRNA from 1 species